rnacentral:tRNA from 2 species
GCGCUUGUAGCUCAGCGGUGAGAGCACCGGCCUUAUAAGCCGGGGGUCGAUGGUUCAAAUCCAUCCAAGCGCACAA